rnacentral:rRNA from 1 species
UACGUAGGGUGCGAGCGUUAAUCGGAAUUACUGGGCGUAAAGCGUGCGCAGGCGGUUCGUUGUGUCGGUGGUGAAAGCCCCGGGCUCAACCUGGGAAUGGCCAUGGAAACUGGCGAACUGGAGUGCGGCAGAGGGGGGUGGAAUUCCGCGUGUAGCAGUGAAAUGCGUAGAGAUGCGGAGGAACACCGAUGGCGAAGGCAGCCCCCUGGGCUAGCACUGACGCUCAGGCACGAAAGCGUGGGGAGCAAACAGG